rnacentral:rRNA from 1 species
GACGAACGCUGGCGGCGUGCUUAACACAUGCAAGUCGAACGGAAAGGCCCUGCUUUUGUGGGGUGCUCGAGUGGCGAACGGGUGAGUAACACGUGAGUAACCUGCCCUUGACUUUGGGAUAACUUCAGGAAACUGGGGCUAAUACCGGAUAUGAGCUCCUGCUGCCUGGUGGGGGUUGGAAAGUUUCGGCGGUUGGGGAUGGACUCGCGGCUUAUCAGCUUGUUGGUGGGGUAGUGGCUUACCAAGGCUUUGACGGGUAGCCGGCCUGAGAGGGUGACCGGCCACAUUGGGACUGGGAUACGGCCCAGACUCCUACGGGAGGCAGCAGUGGGGAAUAUUGCACAAUGGGCGGAAGCCGGAUGCAGCAACGCCGCGUGCGGGAUGACGGCCUUCGGGUUGGAAACCGCUUUCGCCUGUGACGAAGCGUGAGUGACGGUAAUGGGUAAAGAAGCACCGGCUAACUACGUG